GCCAGCCAACGCCGAACCAGUCUGCCUCGGUGCGGAGAUCUGUCGAGCUCGUGCGCGGUGUCGGUGUGGUCCGGUUGAUUCGUUGUUGUUUUUUUCUGCAUUUUGUGCAACCAAUUUUCUGCAAGAAAACACAGCCUGAGCGCCGGGGAAAUUUGGGGUGAAAUUUGUCCGUCGAUUAACGUCGCGGGUUGGCAAUUGGCCGUCACGUGUGCGGUUCGCCCGCGAAGGAGUUUCCCCGCACGGAAACAGCCACCGGAGGCGGUUCAGUGUUCUCAGGUUACUUGGAUGCAUUGGGGUGAAUGCAUUGUUUGUAGUGCCUACUGCGGUGAUCAUGGCAGGCUGUGCAGCGUUAUUUUAAGUGAUCUAUCGCGAAUCGAGUGGGCGCUGAUGGUGAUUGAAAAUUAUUAGUGGGAAGAAAGGCAUUGUGGUCGGCUAAUGGAUGCCAAGUGAAGGGAGCUCGGUUUUAGAGUGUGCCUCGGAAGAUUGCUUAUCGUCAAAGACGACGGUUCCAGUGCAAGUGUCUGUGUGGUGAAAGAGAGUGCAAACGGUGACGGGGCGAAGCAACGCACUGCUUCGAUAAGAAAGAAGCGAAUACCGCGGUGAAGAAUCGUUUGAAUAAGAAUACAUCUGUCCUGCUUGUGUGGAAGAGUUUGUGCAUUUUGUUGGCAAAGCAAACAGCGGAACAACGGCGGGAUAGGUCAUCGUUAUCCAGCGAAAAAGAAAUGUUAUCCUCAGGGCUUUCCAUCACCAGCAAAUAAGUGAAUAAGUGAAUAUGAGGCGAUUGUGAUUGAAGUAGUGAAGUAAUCGAUAAUCCAAUCAGUGUUGUAUAUGAAAUCUGUAAAUAAAAUGUGAUAAUUAUCGAAGAAGCUUUGUAGAAUCAUCGCAAAUUUCUCAAAUAGCCCAAGUGAAAAUAAUAUGCCACUGAAAAACGCCCAUGCUCUCCAGCAGUAACCCCGCGAUCACUGCUGUGAAUGCUCCGAAAGCGCAAACGCAAACGCAUCCUCCUCACCUGCGCGUCUAGUCAUCCAUCGCCGCCACCGGCCGAAUUUCGAAAUGGAGCUGCUACAGCGAGUCAUGUUUCUGCUGGGUUGGACCCUGGCACUCGGCUUAGUGGAAACCACCAGCCCGCUCAGCGUGGUCCAUCAUCCCCAGCACCAGCAGCAGCAGCAACAGUCGCCACAACCGCAACAACCUUCCGGAAUCGGACAGCCCGAGGGACUGAUCAUCGAGGAUUCCCCGAUCGCUCCCUCCUCGCAGUACAUCGUUCAGAAGGACGUCUGGAACGGAGGAGGUGCCAGCAGUAGCCAUCACUCUCACCACCAUAGUAGUAGUCAACCCCAGUCACCGCCAUCAUCAUCGUCCUCUUCCUCAUCCUCGUCCUCCUCUAGGGAUAGUGAUAGUAGCGAUAGUGGCCCCAGCGAUGUCCCCCAUCGAUCCCCGCUGCAUCCCGGCGCAAGAAGUAACGACACUUUCCGUUCCUCAGGAUCGGGAGGAGGAUCACCGUCGGCGGCGAGCGGAGGACUCGCGAGCUUCUUCGGCUUCGGCAGUGGUGGUGGUGGCGGCGGCAGCGAGUGGACACUGAUGGAAUGCUUCUCGCUGCGGCGGACCCACCACCUGUACUAUCAGCUGGGGAGUGGGUUGUUCUUCCUGGCCUUUCUGGCCCCGAAUGCCCCCUUCGGGAUGCUGUGGCUGCGCUGCAUGGUCAUUGCCGGCAGUGUGCUGCUGAUUAUUUGGGGCUGGCAGGUGGAGUGCACGAUGGAUGCCGUGGUGUGGGCCAGCCUGUUCCUGAUCAUAAAUGCGAUCUACGUGGGAGCGCUGCUGUGCAAGCUGCGGCCGGUCAAGUUCGAGAAGGAGAUCGAAGCGGUCUAUGUGGCGCUGUUCAAACCCCUCCGCGUGUCGCGGCACCAGUUCAAGAAGGUGCUAAACUGCAUGAAGCUGGUCCGGUCGCUCAAGUACCAGGAGAUCUACGCCCAGGAGAAGGUCACCAAGGUGGACAGCCUGUCGCUGGUGCUGUCCGGGAAACUGGUGGUGUCGCAAAAUCAGAAAGCAUUGCACAUAGUCUUUCCCCAUCAAUUCUUGGAUUCACCCGAGUGGUUCGGUGUAUCCACCGAUGAUUACUUCCAGGUUUCGAUCAUGGCCAUGGAGGAGUCCCGGGUACUAAUCUGGCACCGGGACAAGCUAAAACUGUCAAUAAUGGCGGAGCCGUUCCUGCAGGCAGUGUUCGACCACAUCCUCGGACGGGACGUCGUCAAGAAGCUGAUGCAGGUGACUCAGGUCAGCGAAACGAUGGCCCAAAGCAACGGGUACAUCUCCUCGGGCUACGGCGAAGACGCCGAAGACAAACCGAUGCUUGUGAUGAAGAACAGCAAAUCGAGUGACAACGGAGGUCACGGAAUAACGGCGCUCAUCAAUCGGCAGCUGCAGGACGAAAACGUGCCGCUUUUGCAGAGCCCGUCCAAUCCGUCGCCGCUGAUGUCGCUCCACAUGCGCCUGCUGCAUUCGGUCGAGAACAAAUUCAUCAAAAAGAUCUACGACGUUUGACGGUGAUCGAAGGGGCGAUGCUGCCAAACAACGAACCAGCAGAACUCAACGAGCGUGUUUUGUGUAACCACCGAAAGGGAACACGUUUUGUCUAGUCCUUUAACAGUUUUUGUGUAGUGUUUUUUUAAGUUUCUUGUAUAUUUUUGAUUCUUGAGAUGUUUUCAUUUAUUUUCGAAUCAAAACUCAACACACAAACGAACAACGAAGAGCUGAAGCAGUGACAACGAAGGGUGACAACGAUUUUUACUCAUAUACAAAACUUUUUUGAACAUUUCGUUUGCUGCCUGUUUUUUAAAUCCGCUAUUUUUCGCCUUGCCUAGAAUAUCGAAAUAUUAUUACUGUGCAGCAGCGGACCCGAACGCGUGGCGCCUCGGCCGGAUCGACGAAACCGACCACGAGACGGCCGUUUAAUAUUAGCCCUGGCGGUGUGCCCCCUCCAGCUACUGUCGGGUGGACGAUCCACUCCAGAGCAUCAUCCCGCUGGACGUGGACUGGGCGCGAUUGGACAGCGAGCGCAGUCUGAUGAAGAACGGCGACGAUUGCGCCCGUUAGGGGGAACACCGGAAUUCACGAGACGAAUGUGGAGGAAUUUGGAAAUCAAACCUAAAUCUUCGAAUGUGCGUAGUUUAUAACGUUGUACGGUUAAUCGUUCUUUUGAGUUGUUUCCAGCCCAUUUCUAGUGUAGAUGAUGACGAAUGAGAGGUUUUUGAAACUUUGCUUUGAGAAGAAAUGAUGUUUGGAAAUAAUAGCUUUGUUCUGCGUUCAGUGUUGCGGUUUAAUAAUCUGCUGAAUCUAAUAAAAAUCAUCUUUCCUUAAUAUAGACGCCUUUAUAGAGUUAGAUUUGGUUUUAUUCACAACAAACGUAUUCACAAAUUGAUAGUAACAAUAUAGAAACAAGUUUCAACGCAAACGGAAUGAGCCUUCCUGACAUUAGUUUGCAAUAGAAUAAAAUCUAUGUGGACAAUUGUAAAUCGUAAAACAAAAAUGUAAAUAAAUAUAAAAGAAAGAAUAAAUUAGAACCCAACAAAUUGAAACCAAAAAAGAAAACCAUAGAAGGUACUGUUGAAAAGACAAUGAGAAAAAAGCAUAGCGAGAAACAGUUUAAUUCUUGAUGUUCGAGGUUAUAUCCUAUACAAAUGGAUGACAAAAAAUAGCAUUUUAGGUUAGCAAAGAAAGGCAUAAUAAAUAGAUGAAACAGGAUAAGUUUUAUUUUCCUUGAUGAAUAACGGAAACAAAUAACACUCCAUAACGAAAUUAGAACCGUAUUCAAUGUGAAAUCCCCAGAUUUAGUCGUCGAAGUUAGAUUUAAAGUUACUACUAGAACGUACUAACAAACGAUGUGCAGUGACUAAAGAUUAGCGAGAGAGUUAAACCACAAGGAGAAAUAACAAAGUAUAGAUAGGACACUAAAAAACAAAACCUAGUUGAGGCAAAUGAAUGUUAAUAAAAAAAAGUUAACUCACAACUAGAAACUGACAUGGAGAUAAUAAUUCAAAUAGGGGAUCGGCUUUACAAAGUCAACGGCCUUGGGCGUGGGUCACCAGAUAUGAGAGCAAAGAAAUGUGACUUUUGAAUGUUUGAUUGAACAGGAAUAAGAUAUAGCAGAAAGAGAUCGAAUAAUUUUACUUUUGACUGUUGUUGCUGUGUAAUGUGUAGAGGUAAGACUAAUUUAAACUUUAACUCAAAAACUGCAGAAAAGUGCUUAUCCAUGCGAUAAAACCAAUGUGGAAACGUGUAUUGUUAGGGACAGAUGGAAAUCAUAACCAUGGAAUGAUAUGCAAAUAGACCAGAGUUAUUUUAAUGAAUUCAAAA